ACCGUUUACCGCCUUAGUAGCGUAACUUCUAUUGUAACGCCUUUUGUCUUCUAUAAUAAUUGCCGUCUUAAUAAUCGAGUCAAUUCAUUAUAAAUCAUAAUAAUUGAUAAAUUACAAAGAUAACUGAUAAUUUCUGUAAUAAUGUGGGCCUGAAAGGACCGUCAGAGUCAGGAAUGAAGAGAACAGUUGUUUUGGCUCACCUACCUAGAGUACCCUAUCAAUCAGUAUUCAGUCAUUACUAAGUAAGUACGGGAUGGACGACCUUUGCUUCGAUAACGUGUACUAUUGUUACGGAUGAUCACUGAUAACAAUCUGCGAAGGAACGUUUUCUUUAGUAUCGUGUUAAUUUUCCUCAAUAACAUAUUCUAGAUUCUCCCUCAGAAGAGCCUUCCUUAUUUCGUCAGUUUUGAUUAGCCUCAAGAUUUCGGGAAUGCAUGUUGUUGAAUGGUACUACAUAGAACAAUACCAGUAGCAACUCUUAAAGUGUACUUUAAAAAUUACAACAACAAGUAAAAUCUGUUCCCAAUAUUAGAUUCAUACAUCAGCAGUGAAAUCUAGUUGUAGUCCUUCAAGAUAUUUUACAAAUUUAUAACAGAUUUAUUUGCUAAUCAUUUGUAAACAAUUUUGUGUUAAGAAUUGUUAAUAUAACGCAUCAUUACAAAACAGGACGGGACGAAAAGCUAAAAUGAAUCCAGAACAUUCUUUAGAAUUUACUUUGAAAAGUGAAACUGAAGGUCCAUUAUCACUACCUUCCAUAAAUCAAGAAAACAAUAACGUGGCUGCCUUUAGUAAAACCAGUGAUGGUGACUUUUGGCCUCUGGAUCCAUUGAUGGACAUCAAAAUAAAGCCAGAGGAAUUCUGUGAGUCUAAUGAAGAUGAAUAUUCAUAUGAAAUGACUUCAAUAGUGAAUGAAAAACAUCCACAAACUUGCAAAGAGGAAGUAAAACAAGAAAGAAGGAUUAGUGACAAUGGAGAGGAGCCUUUCAGAUCCACUGACUGUGAAAAAGCAUUUUACAAGAAAAUUAAUUUUAUCGUAAAAACAUUCGUGUGCAAUGAAUGUGGGAAAGUAUUUUCCAGGAAACCAGAUCUUACAGUUCAUAUGAGAAUCCAUACUGGAGGAAAGCCAUUCGUGUGCAAGGAGUGUGGGAAAGCAUUUUCCAAGAAAUCGCAUUUUAUAGUUCAUAUGAGAAU